GGUAACCCGUUUGGAGCGACGGGUCAAUCAUAUUCGACGCAUAACCCGUAUACUGGUUUCAUGUAGGCUGUGUCAGAGGUAGUCUAGAUUCAGCUUUAGAGAUGUAGAUAGACAGGGCAUGUUCUGAAUCAAAUUUUAGUCGUCUGUCUUCUUUUUCUUGUGGUUCUCCCCUUUUGUUUUGGGGAUUCUCUCAGAGUUUGUCGAGGCAGAGUUC
rnacentral:misc_RNA from 1 species